rnacentral:lncRNA from 1 species
AAAGAAAGAAAGAAAGAAAGAAAGAAAGAAAGAAAGAAAGAAAGAAAGCAAACAAAGGAAGGAAGGAAGGAAGGAAGGAAGGAAGGAAGGAAGGAAGGAAGGAAGGAAGGAAGGAAAGAGGGCAUUGCUUCAAAUCUGUUGGAGAUAUGUAAUUUAAAAAUCUCAUUGGAUAUUUCUAAUACACUACUAAUGAUACCUUAGAAACUGGCUCAAUGAUAGAGGGAUUUCUAAGCAGUGUAAUUUCUACAUUCGAUGAACAGCUCCAUGAAUAUGCAAUAUAAAGAAUGAUUGCAGCUAACAUUGUUUCUAAUAAGGCUUAUUCCAAUCUCUGGGUUGCUUUUAAUAAUCACAUAGUCAUUCAGAAGAUUUGUUCUCCUGCUCCAUUUUGAAGGCUGUUCUGUGCUUCAUAAAAUCAGUUCAUAUAAAACCACUGAGUUGAUUUUUCAUUUUGCCUUUUCUGGAUACCUAGGGAUACAAUUGCAACUUGUCAUUUAUUCUAUAUGCAUUUUUGAAAGAUAACAUUUUUUUGUAUUUUGGGGCUGUUGUAAAUAAAAUGCUGUAAUUACAUAGCUUAUAAACAACAAACAACUGUCACAUCCCAACCUAGAGGCUGAGAAGGCCAAGUAGAGCCAGCAGAGGUGGGUUCUAGUGUGAGCACACACUUCCUGCCUCACAGAUGAUGGUCUUGCUGUGCUUUCUCCUGUCAGAUGGGCAAAGGAUGUUCUUGGAGGCCUCUUUUAUGAGCACAAUAAGCCAAACCUGAGAGUCAGAGCCCUCAAUGUGAGCCCUUCACACAGGCUCCGCCACCACACACCCCCGUCUUGUGACUAAAUCUCAACAUAAUGGACUGGGAGAGUGGAUGGCACAAGGGUUCUGACUGUCACACCUGGGUGCGUGUCAUUCAAUAAGAGCAAUGAUGACUUGUUCCACCUAGAAAGUGCUCUGAAUAGAGAGGCAUCUCAAUGCAAUUUCUUCACCAUUACUCACUCAUCUUUUUGUGAUAUCACUUUCCUUUAUUAUCCAGAAACAUAAGUGGAGGAGGGAGAGCUACAGGGCAUGGAUCCACAGAAGAGGAAGUAGGAUAUCACUGUGAUAUAUUCUUUGUUUGUUUGUUUGUUUGUUUGUUUGUUUGUUUGAACUGAGUGUCAGAGAUCCUAGCAGGGUUCUACUCUAUGGACUGGAUGCCUCUUCUGUGAGGUCUUGAAUUCAUGGAAGUGAUUAAAAUCUGAUUUGGAUAGAUUAGCAUAUCUCAGAGAUUUCUAAUUAACUGAGAUUCUCUUCCCCUUGUCUUUUUUUCUCCCUCUUUCUUUUCAUUUUCAUUUUCAUUUUUUUUCUUGCCUUGAUUUUUGUUUUUAUUAAGUCAUUUUUUUUCUUUGUUAGGCAGAAUCUCACAUCAUAACCCCAAAUGACCUGUUACUCACCAUGUGGCCCAGCUGUCUUCAAACUCACCAGCCUCCUGCCUUAGCCUUCUAAAUGCUUGGAUUACAGGCAUGACCCACCAUAACUGGCUUUGUUUUAGUUUCAGAGAAGAUGAAACUGAUGUGCGUCAAAAAGCUGGUAGUCUGUCAAGGAAAUGAGCUGAACAUGUCUGUGUACAGCUUUUGUGCCAUCCCUGGAUGAGCGAGCUGUCUGCCUCUAUGUUCUCCACAAAAUGGAAUAUAGCUGUACACCCAAGCCAAGUUAUGGAGGCUGGGAAGACCUAGAAUGUGGCAUCACUAUUUGGUAAGAACCUUCCUAUGUCAUUGUAGAGUGAGGGACUUGGGUACCACAUGGCAAGGCAUAGUACCCAAAUCCCUUUCCUUCAUAAAAGUAUUAAUGUCAUCAAAGAGGCCCCACCACCAUGAUGCCAUCUGGGGCCUCAUGACCCCAAUGCCUGAUGCCAAAGACUCCCACCUCAAAAUACUUUUUUCUUCAGCAUAACAUUUUAUUAAUUAUCUGGGAAUUUCACAUCAUGUACUCCAAUCACACUCAGUUCCCAGUCCUUCCAUGUCAGCCCCCACCCUUGUUACUUGCCCCCCAAAAGAGGAAAAUUAAAACUAAGAAUUAAAAAAAAUUAAAAAAAUUAAAAUACACAAGUCCAAUUUAUGUUACCUAUAUACUCACUGAAGCAUGGUCAGAUUCUCAGUGGCCUGGCCCUUAAAUAGAAGUGAGUCUUCCCCCUCCUGCAUCUGAAGCCAUUAAUUGCGUAGAGCUACACUUCAACAUCUACAUCACACUUUCAAAGAGUUCUCUUCAGUGGAUUCCUGUUCUAGACCAUUACUUUGGAGACAGGGGUAGGGGAUUGUCACAAAAAGCCUUCCAUGUCCCUUCGUCUCAGUUGUACACCUGCAGUCAUCAAUAUCCCAGUGUAACUAGUCCCCUUGUUCUUCAUAGUUAGUGGAAACAUGGAUCAUGGGCCUCUCAAGGUUUCUGAUAACAUCCCAGACCAUGAACAUGGCCCUCAGGUGCAGGAGGACCACAGAUCCAGACAAAGACCAGAUCACAGCCAUAAAAAUAGCCUCAGGUGGCAGCAAAGGCCACUCAGAUUAGUAUGGCCUUUGGUGGCAGCACUAUCCAUAAACAUCAACGUAGCUUCAGGCAGCAGCACAGACUGUGAACAUCUCAUGGUCUUCAGUGGUAACACAAGCCAUGGAUAUCUACCUACAGCAGAACCAUAUAUAGAUUUGAUAAGUUUCCACACAUGAACCCAGGACACAUUUAAAUCAUGGCAGUCUACAUCCUGAUCCUUCCCUUGUC